rnacentral:rRNA from 1 species
AGCAGUCGCCGCGGUAAUACGUAGGUGGCAAGCGUUGUCCGGAAUUAUUGGGCGUAAAGGGCUCGCAGGCGGUUUCUUAAGUCUGAUGUGAAAGCCCCCGGCUCAACCGGGGAGGGUCAUUGGAAAUUGGGAAACUUGAGUGCAGAAGAGGAGAGUGGAAUUCCACGUGUAGCGGUGAAAUGCGUAGAGAUGUGGAGGAAUACCAGUGGCGAAGGCGACUCUCUGGUCUGUAACUGACGCUGAGGAGCGAAAGCGUGGGGAGCGAACAGGAUUAGAUACCCCAGUAGUCCCUGUCUCUUAUAC